GCCUGGGUGGCUCAGUCGGUCGAGCGUCCGACUUCAGCUCAGGUCGUGAUCUCACAGUUCGUGGGUUCGAGCCCCACAUCAGGCU
rnacentral:tRNA from 1 species